rnacentral:rRNA from 1 species
GGCUAACUCCGUGCCAGCAGCCGCGGUAAUACGGAGGAUGCGAGCGUUAUCCGGAUUUAUUGGGUUUAAAGGGUGCGUAGGCGGCCUGUUAAGUCAGCGGUGAAAUCUAGGAGCUUAACUCCUAAAUUGCCAUUGAUACUGGUGGGCUUGAGUGUAGAUGAGGUAGGCGGAAUGCGUGGUGUAGCGGUGGAAUGCAUAGAUAUCACGCAGAACUCCGAUUGCGAAGGCAGCUUACUAAGGUACAACUGACGCUGAAGCACGAAAGCGUGGGUAUCAAACAGGAUUAGAUACCCUGGUAGUCCACGCAGUAAACGAUGAUAACUGGGCGUAUGCGAUAUACAGUAUGCUCCUAAGCGAAAGCGUUAAGUUAUCCACCUGGGGAGUACGCCGGCAACGGUGAAACUCAAAGGAAUUGACGGGGGCCCGCACAAGCGGAGGAACAUGUGGUUUAAUUCGAUGAUACGCGAGGAACCUUACCCGGGAUUGAAAUGUAGAUGACCGCUCCUGAAAGGGAGUUUUCCUUCGGGACAUCUAUGUAGGUGCUGCAUGGUUGUCGUCAGCUCGUGCCGUGAGGUGUCGGCUUAAGUGCCAUAACGAGCGCAACCCCUGUCUACGGUUGCCAUCAGGUAAUGCUGGGAACUCCGUAGAGACUGCCGUCGUAAGGCGUGAGGAAGGUGGGGAUGACGUCAAAUCAGCACGGCCCUUACAUCCGGGGCGACACACGUGUUACAAUGGUAAGGACAAAGGGCAGCUACCUGGCGACAGGAUGCGAAUCUCUAAACCUUAUCACAGUUCGGAUCGGAGUCUGCAACUCGACUCCGUGAAGCUGGAUUCGCUAGUAAUCGCGCAUCAGCCAUGGCGCGGUGAAUACGUUCCCGGGCCUUGUACACACCGCCCGUCAAGCCAUGAAAGCCGGGGGUGCCUGAAAGCCGUGACCGCAAGGG